rnacentral:rRNA from 1 species
CGCUGGCGGCACGCCUAAUACAUGCAAGUCGAACGAAGUAGCAAUACUUAGUGGCAGACGGGUGAGUAACAUGUGGGUAUCUUCCCUUUGGUGAGGAAUAACACGAGGAAACUUGUGCUAAUACCUCAUAAGUCUUUACGGAGAAAGCUUUAUGCGCCAAUGGAUGAGCCCGCACUUGAUUAGUUUGUUGGUGAGGUAAUGGCUCACCAAGACGUUGAUCAAUAGCUGAUUUGAGAGGAUGAUCAGCCACAUUGGGACUGAGACACGGCCCAAACUCCUACGGGAGGCAGCAGUAGGGAAUCUUGCACAAUGGGGGAAACCCUGAUGCAGCGAUGCCGCGUGAGUGAAGAAGGCCUUUGGGUUGUAAAGCUCUUUCGUCGGGGAAGAAAAUGACUGUACCCGAAUAAGAAGGUCCGGCUAACUUCGUGCCAGCAGCCGCGGUAAUACGAAGGGACCUAGCGUAGUUCGGAAUUACUGGGCUUAAAGAGUUCGUAGGUUGUUAAAAAAGUUGGUGGUGAAAUCCCAGAGCUUAACUCUGGAACUGCCAUCAAAACUUUUUAGCUAGAGUUUGAUAGAGGAAAGCAGAAUUUCUAGUGUAGAGGUGAAAUUCGUAGAUAUUAGAAAGAAUACCAAUUGCGAAGGCAGCUUUCUGGAUCAUUACUGACACUGAGGAACGAAAGCAUGGGUAGCGAAGAGGAUUAGAUACCCUCGUAGUCCAUGCCGUAAACGAUGUGUGUUAGACGUUGGAAAUUUAUUUUCAGUGUCGCAGCGAAAGCAAUAAACACACCGCCUGGGGAGUACGAC